AGUUAACGCUGGCAUCGUGCAUAACACAUGCAAGUCGAACGGGACUUAGUUUGUAGCUUGCUAUAGACUAAGUUUAGUGGCAGACGGGUGAGUAAUGUAUAAGGAACCUACCUCUGAGUGGGGAAUAACAGUCCGAAAGGAUUGCUAAUACCCCAUAAUAUAACUUAGUGGCAUCACGGAGUUAUCAAAGAUUUAUCGCUUGGAGAUGGUCUUAUAUUCUAUCAGCUAGUUGGCAGUGUAACGGACUACCAAGGCGACGACGGAUAGCCGGCCUGAAAGGGCGACCGGCCACAAGGGCACUGAGACACGGGCCCUACUCC
rnacentral:rRNA from 1 species